rnacentral:rRNA from 1 species
CAUGUGAGUCCAUUCUUUGACAUCUGAACUUUGCUGAUGCUUAUUCCAUUGUAUGCACAACAGGCACCUUCGCCACAUUGUCAUCCAUUUGUGAGAUGUUUCUGUUUCUCCAUGUUGGCAUGGAUGCAUUGGAUAUAGAGUAGUGGAAGAUUGUUAGCGGAACACAUAUACAGCUGAUGUAUGGUGGUUGCCUUCUUGUACAUGAGCUUACGACUGCGGGAGAUCACGACUUGUUCUUUUGAUUUUUUUGGUUCAUCACAUGAUCCAUCAAGCCAGCCAAGGCGGAGAUCAGUGAAGAGGUGAAGUAGAAAAUGGAAUCGGAAUAGGAGGCAUAUCUUCAACUGGUUUGAUGCAUGUUGGAAGAGGCUUGAAGUGGCGGUCGUAACACAGUCAGUUGGGACGACUCAUUGGCAGAGUUGAUAUUAUUAACAUUUUCAUUGUUAGAGACGACAGUAUCUGGUGUUGUUAGUGAACAUGGACCAUGAAGUGGAGUCUGAUCACUCAUUACCACAUCAACAGGUCCUGAAAGGGAUUACGUACCCCACUACGCUGAGAUCCGGGCAUAUUGUCUUCUCAAUGAACACUUACUGACCCGUGCCUCAACUCAGUUUGCUAUGCAAAUCAUGAUGUACUGUACGGAAGUAGUCAGAUGUCUUGGAGAUCUGCUCGCCACCGGGGUGAUGACACCGGAUGUAAGGCAGCGCGCCGAGUCGAGGACGUCGCAGACACCGGGGAGAGGGCGGCGUGGCGACGACGGCGUAUUGAGGAGAGUUAGGGCUGCAAGGCGGGUCGAGGGCGUCGCGUCGUCGCGGAGAACAGGGGCAAGGGUCGCGUGGCGAGGGCGGCCGGGCGGGGCGGAGCGAGGACGGCGGGGCGGCGUGCCGACGCGAGGUUCGUGGCGUGGUGGUGGCGUUGAUCGCGGAGAUAAUGUUUAUUCGCUGGAUGGAGGUGUCAUCGUUAGGAUGUGUAGGAGCCUGGACGUGGGAGUCUGCCGGCAGAACAUUUGAUUAGAACCGUUGAUCUGGUUGUAGUAUGUUUGAUAAAACGUGG